AAGUGCCUACGGGGCGCAGCAGUGAGGAAUAUUGGUCAAUGGUCGGGAGACUGAACCAGCCAAGCCGCGUGAGGGAUGAAGGUACAGAGUAUCGUAAACCUCUUUUGUCUGGGAACAAAGGCGGGGACGCGUCCCCGGAUGAGUGGACCUGAAGGAAAAGCAUCGGCUAACUCCGUGCCAGCAGCCGCGGUAAUACGGAGGAUGCGAGCGUUAUACGGAUUUAAUGGGUUUAAAGGGUGCGCAGGCGGGCUGUUA
rnacentral:rRNA from 1 species